GCAGACAUAGUCAAGUGGACCAAGGUAGUGGAUUGUGAAUCCACCACGCGCGGGUUCAAUUCCCUUCGUUCACC
rfam:Picea glauca, whole genome shotgun sequence.